rnacentral:lncRNA from 1 species
CGAACAACAACGAAAUGAAGAUUGAAAAAGAGAGAGAGAGAGAUUUUUUAAAAAGGAAUUUUCACGAAGGUAAAAAGCUAAUAAAACUGACAAAGAUUAUUCCUGGCAUAAGAAGAAGAA